AUUGAACGCUGGCGGCAGGCCUAACACAUGCAAGUCGAGCGGAUGAAGGGAGCUUGCUCCUGGAUUCAGCGGCGGACGGGUGAGUAAUGCCUAGGAAUCUGCCUGGUAGUGGGGGAUAACGUCCGGAAACGGGCGCUAAUACCGCAUACGUCCUGAGGGAGAAAGUGGGGGAGCUUCGGACCUCACGCUAUCAGAUGAGCCUAGGUCGGAUUAGCUAGUUGGUGGGGUAAAGGCCUACCAAGGCGACGAUCCGUAACUGGUCUGAGAGGAUGAUCAGUCACACUGGAACUGAGACACGGUCCAGACUCCUACGGGAGGCAGCAGUGGGGAAUAUUGGACAAUGGGCGAAAGCCUGAUCCAGCCAUGCCGCGUGUGUGAAGAAGGUCUUCGGAUUGUAAGGCACUUUAAGUUGGGAGGAAGGGCAGUAAGUUAAUACCUUGCUGUUUUGACGGUACCAACAGAAUAAGCACCGGCUAACUUCGUG
rnacentral:rRNA from 1 species